rnacentral:rRNA from 1 species
CUGGGGAUCUUGCGCAUGGGCGAAGCCUGACGCAGCGACGCCGCGUGAGGGAUGACGGCCUUCGGGUUGUAAACCUCUUUCAGCUCCGACGAAGCGGAAGUGACGGUAGGAGCAGAAGAAGCACCGGCCAACUACGUGCCAGCAGCCGCGGUAAUACGUAGGGUGCAAGCGUUGUCCGGAAUUAUUGGGCGUAAAGAGCUCGUAGGCGGUCUGUCGCGUCGGCUGUGAAAACUCGGGGCUCAACUCCGAGCUUGCAGUCGAUACGGGCAGGCUAGAGUUCGGCAGGGGAGACUGGAAUUCCUGGUGUAGCGGUGAAAUGCGCAGAUAUCAGGAGGAACACCGGUGGCGAAGGCGGGUCUCUGGGCCGAUACUGACGCUGAGGAGCGAAAGCGUGGGGAGCGAACAGGAUUAGAUACCCUGGUAGUCCACGCCGUAAACGUUGGGCGCUAGGUGUGGGAUCCCUUCCACGGGUUCCGUGCCGCAGCUAACGCAUUAAGCGCCCCGCCUGGGGAGUACGGCCGCAAGG